CUGCUCGAUGACCUGUGCUGUUGCCGCAGCACCUUCUGGCUUCAAACUUCAGACUUCAGUUUCCAGACUUCAGUUAUCAACCUGGUAAGAAACAAAAUAAAAAAAAACCUUCCAGUAGCUCCUUAGAGACCAACUCAGCUUGUUAUUGGUAUGAGCUUUCGUGUGCAUGCACGCUUCUUCAGAUACAAAGUACAGUGGUACCUCGGGUUAAGUACUUAAUUCGUUCCAGAGGUCUGUUCUUAACCUGAAAUUGUUCUUACCCUGAAGCACCACUUUAGCUAAUGGGGCCUCCUGCUGCUGCCGCGCCGCCGGAGCACGAUUUCUGUUCUCGUCCUGAAGCAAAGUUCUUAACCUGAAGCACUAUUUCUGGGUUAGCGGAGUCUGUAACCUGAAGCGUAUGUAGAAUCAUAGAAUCAUAGAAUCAUAGAAUCAUAGAGCUGGAAGAGACCACAAGGGCCAUCGAGUCCAACCCCCUGCCAAGCAGGAAACACCAUCAGAGCACUCCUGACAUAUGGUUGUCAAGCCUCUGCUUAAAGACCUCCAAAGAAGGAGACUCCACCACACUCCUUGGCAGCAAAUUCCACUGUCGAACAGCUCUUACUGUCAGGAAGUUCUUCCUAAUGUUUAGGUGGAAUCUUCUUUCUUGUAGUUUGGAUCCAUUGCUCCGUGUCCGCUUCUCUGGAGCAGCAGAAAACAACCUUUCUCCCUCCUCUAUGUGACAUCCUUUUAUAUAUUUGAACAUGGCUAUCAUAUCACCCCUUAACCUCCUCUUCUCCAGGCUAAACAUGCCCAGCUCCCUUAGCCGUUCCUCAUAAGGCAUCGUUUCCAGGCCUUUGACCAUUUUGGUUGCCCUCCUCUGGACACGUUCCAGUUUGUCAGUGUCCUUCUUGAACUGUGGUGCCCAGAACUGGACACAGUACUCCAGGUGAGGUCUGACCAGAGCAGAAUACAGUGGCACUAUUACUUCCCUUGAUCUAGAUGCUAUACUCCUAUUGAUGCAGCCCAGAAUUGCAUUGGCUUUUUGAGCUGCCGCGUCACACUGUUGGCUCAUGUCAAGUUUGUGGUCAACCAAGACUCCUAGAUCCUUUUCACAUGUACUGCUCUCAAGCCAGGUGUCCCCCAUCUUGUAUUUGUGCCUCUCAUUUUUUGCCCAAGUGCAAUACUUUACAUUUCUCCCUGUUCAAAUUCAUCUUGUUUGUUUUGGCCCAGUUCUCUAAUCUGUCAAGGUCGUUUUGAAGUGUGAUCCUGUCCUCUGGGGUGUUAGCCACCCCUCCCAGUUUGGUGUCAUCUGCAAAUUUGAUCAGGAUGCCCUUGAGUCCAUCAUCCAAGUCAUUGAUAAAGAUGUUGAAUAAGACCGGGCCCAAGACAGAACCCUGUGGCACCCCACUAGUCACCCUUCUCCAGGAUGAAGAGGAACCAUUGAUGAGCACCCUUUGGGUUCGCUCAGUCAGCCAGUUACAAAUCCACUGAGUGGUAGCAUAGUCAAGACCGCAUUUUACCAGCUUCUUUACAAGAAUAUCAUGGGGCACCUUGUCAAAUGCCUUGCUGAAAUCAAGGUAGGCUACAUCCACUGCGUUCCCUUCAUCUACCAGGCUUGUAAUUCUGUCAAAAACGAGAUCAGGUUAGUCUGACAUGACUUAUUUUUCAGAAAUCCAUGCUGACUAUUAGUGAUCACAGCAUUCCUUUCUAGGUGCUCACAGACUGUUUGCUUAAUGAUCUGCUCCAGAAUCUUCCCUGGUACUGAUGUCAGACUGACUGGGCGGUAAUUAUUUGGGUCCUCUCUUUUCCCCUUGAAAAUAGGGACAACAUUUGCCCUCCUCCAGUCUGCCGGGACUUCGCCUGUUCUCCAGGAAUUCUCAAAGAUGACUGCCAGUGGUUCUGAGAUCACAUCUGCCAGUUCUUUUAAUACUCUUGGAUGCAGUUCAUCUGGCCCUGGAGACUUGAAUACAUCUAAACUAGCCAAGUAUUCUUGUACUAUCUCCUUAGUUAUUCUGGGCUGUGUUUCCUCUGCUGAAUCAUUUGCUCCAAAUUCUUCAGGUCGGGCAUUGUUUUCUUUAUCAGAGAAGACUGAGGCAAAGAAGGCAUUGAGGAGUUCAGCCCUUUCUGUGUCCCCUGUUUGCAUUUCACCAUCUUCUCCUCUGAGUGACCCCACUGUUUCUUUGUUCUUCCUUUUGCUACUGAACAUACCCAUAAAAGCCUUUUUGUUGCUUUUAACCUCUCUAGCAAGCCUGAGUUCAUUCUGUGCUUUAGCUUUUCUGACUUUGUGUCUACACGUGCUGGCUAUUUGUUUGAAUUCCUCUUUGGUGGUUUUCCCCCUUUUCCAUUUUUGUACACAUCCUUUUUUAAUCUUAACUCAGUUAAAAGUUCUUUAGAUAGCCACCCUGGCUUCUUUAGGCACCUUCCAUGUUUCCGUCUCAUUGGUAUUGCCUGACGUUGUGCUUUUACUAUCUCCCUCUUAACAAACUCCCAGCCAUCAUGAACUCCCUUUCCUUUUAGUAUUACUGUCCAUGGGAUCUCACCCAGCACUUCCCUAAGUUUUAUGAAGUCGGCUUUCUUAAAGUCAAGAAAUUGAGUCCUAGUAUGCUUGGCUGCUCCUUUCCGCUGUAUAGUAAACUUCAGAAGAGCAUGAUCACUCGCGCCUAAUGAUCCUUCCACUUCUACCCCACUAACCAGGUCAUCAACAUUGGUUAGGACCAGAUCUAAAAUGGCUGUUCCUCUUGUUGCUUCUCCCACUUUCUGGACAAUGAAGUUGUCUGCAAGGCCAGUGAGGAAUCUGUUUGACCUUAUGCUCUUGGCUGAGUUUGACAUCCAACAAAUAUCCGGGUAAUUGAAGUCCCCAUUACUACUAUCUCCUUCUUUUUGCAUGCUUGGCCAUCUGUUCCAGGAAGGCAUCAUCUGUGUCCUCCGUUUGGCUUGGGGAUCUAUAGUAAACUCCCACAAUGAGGUCACUGUUAUUCUUCUCUCCCUUAAUUUUGACCCAAAUGCUCUCACUUUGGCUUUGAGGUUCUAAAUCUUGGAUCUCUUCACAGGUAUACACAUCCCUGACAUAUAACGCCACUCCUCCUCCUUUCUUGUCUGGUCUGUUUUUCUGAAAUAGAUUGUAUCCCCCCAUUAUUACAUUCCAAUUGUGGGACUUAUCCCACCAGGUUUCAGUGAUGCCUAUUAUGUCAUAUUUAGUUUGCUGUACCAAGAGCUCAAGCUCAUCUUGUUUAUUUCCCAUGCUUUGCGCAUUAGUGUACAGACAUUGAAGUCCAUUAAUCAUUCCCCCAUGUCUCUUAUUUAAGGAUUUUUUCCUCCUACCACUAGGUCUGCGUGCUGUUUGCUCCAUUUGGUCUAUGACAUUUGGAUGAUCAUCUUCAUCAAUUGAUAGACUCCUACCUUCAGGAGCACUGUCUUCCUCCCCACAUUAGUCAGUUUAAAGCCCUCCUGAUGAGGUUUCUGAGAUUUUUGGCAAAACAUUUCUCCCAACUCGUUGUGAGGUGCAACCCAUCGCUUGCCAGAAGUCCAUCUUCAAGAAACUGCAGUCCGUGAUCUAAGAAUCCAAACCGUUCCUGUUUACACCAUUUGCGAAGCCAGCUGUUCACUUCCACUAUUUUCCCUCUCUCCCUGGGCCACGUCGUUCAACUGGGAGGACAGAUGAGAUGACAAUUUGUGCAUUUAAUUGCUUCAAUUUCCUGCCCAGAGCCUCGUAGUCUCUUUUGAUCUUCUGGAGGCUAUUGCUUGCAGUGUCAUUGGUUCCCACAUGAACCAAGAGGAAGGGUAUUUGUCAGUGGGUUUUAUGAUUCCUUGCAGUCGUUCAGUUACAUCUUGGAUCUUAGCCCCAGGAGACAGCACACUUCCCGAGACAUCUUGUCAGGCCCACAGAUCACUGCUUCUGUUCCCCUCAGUAGGGAAUCCCCUAUCACCACUACACGCCUCCUCUUAGGUUUGUUCGGGGUCCUUCCGUGAGCUGUCCGUUCCAAGGUCGCCUGCACAUUCCCUGAGGACUGACUUUGUGCCCUUGAAUGUGGUAUAGAUUUUUAUCCUUGAAAAGGUGGGCAGGGGCAAGAGACUUUUAUUGAUUUGAGAUCUUUCCUUAGCAGUCCCAAUCGUUGGGCAGAAAAUAUUGAAUUGCAAGUAAGCCCUCCUUACAACACAUUUACCUGUGUUAUGUUACAAAAACAGGGCAGAUAUGAUAUGUUGAAAAACAGGGCUUCAAAUGCAGUACUUAAACUACUAUUUAGUUAAGAGUUGUACAGGUCUGUGGAAAUGUAAAGAAACUGAAGGUACAUUCUUUCACCUUUGGUGGACGUGCCCAAGGAUUAAGGUUUUCUGGGAGAUGAUUUAUAAUGAAUUAAAAAAGGUAUUCAAAUAUACCUUCUUGAAGAAACCAGAGGCCUUUCUCCUGGGCAUAGUCGGCCAAUCGGUGUUAAAGAAGGACAGAACUUUCUUUAUGUAUGCUACCACAGCAGCAAGAAUACUUAUUGCAAAGCAUUGAAGACACAAGACCUACCCACACUGGAAGAAUGGCAGAUGAAAAUGAUGGACUACAUGGAACUGGCGGAAAUGACUGGCAGAAUCCGAGACCAGGGAGAAGAGUCGGUGGAAGAAGAUUGGAAGAAAUUUAAAGACUAUUUACAGAAAUAUUGCAAAAUUAAUGAAUGUUAGAAUGAUGUUGGAUUGAAGUUAAGUGGUUUCUAGCUGUAAUGGUAUAAAAGAAUAUGGAAAAAUUGGAUUUUCAAUACGUAAAAACCUAAUGCUAUAAUAUAUUAAGAUUAAAGAUCAGGAUAAAAUAAGGAGGGAAAGGAAUUGCUGAACUAAUAAAUUGAACUGGAAUACAAAAAAGGGAGGCAUGAGGAGGUCCGGGAAACAAGUAAAUGAAAGAUAAGUGAUGAAAAGAUGGAAUUGUUUUUAAUUGUUUUUUUUGUAUUUUGUAUUUUUCUUUCUCUAUUUUUUUUAUUCUUAUCUAUGUAACCUUUUUUUGAAACUUUAAUAAAUAUCAUUUUAAAAAAAAGAGUUGUACAGGUCUGUAGCACUCCUAGGUAUCUUGAUUUCUGUACAAAAAAACCAACCCUUAGUGGCACACAGAACUGGAAGUGUGGUUGUGUCUAGAUCUCUUCAGAGGAAAGCUGUUGUAAAACAGGGUUGCACUAUGCAAAUUCUGAAAUAAAAGCACUGUGCUGUAGUUUAUUGAUGCUGUGUUGAAGGCAAACAUUGUUGUUUAUCUCUGUUGUUUAUCUUUUAGAUAACAUCAAAUAUUUGUGAGAAAUUGAAGACUAGGAGCGCUUCUUUGCAGAUUGGGUUUGUAAAGAAGGUAUACUGACAACUUAAAGGUAUCUGGCAAAUACUUACACUGAAUGAGCAGGAAUGACAGUUGCAUAUUGGAAGCUUUCUAUUGUGAUUGAUGCAUGCACAUUCUUUAAAGUGACGGAGAAGAUUAUAUGUUAGAAAUAAUACUUACACAAAUAAGCGUUAUUUCUAACAUAAUCCUAACGCUUACACAAAUAAGUGCAUUCAUUUUGAAUGCUCAUUGCAUUCACCACUUGCUUCUGACCUGCUAAUUUCAUUUUCAUUGCUUUUUGCAUAAUUCAUAUAUCACAAUAAUAAUAAAAGUGUAUGUUGCAAAGUGCACUCUGGGAC